rnacentral:rRNA from 1 species
CUCCUUUGACGUUAGCGGCGGACGGGUGAGUAACACGUGGGUAACCUACCUAUAAGACUGGGAUAACUUCGGGAAACCGGAGCUAAUACCGGAUAAUAUUUGAACCGCAUGGUUCGAUAGUGAAAGGUGGUUUUGCUAUCACUUAUAGAUGGACCCGCGCCGUAUUAGCUAGUUGGUAAGGUAACGGCUUACCAAGGCGACGAUACGUAGCCGACCUGAGAGGGUGAUCGGCCACACUGGAACUGAGACACGGUCCAGACUCCUACGGGAGGCAGCAGGG